rnacentral:lncRNA from 1 species
AUUUUUCUCUUGUGGCUGCCAUGUAAGAAGUGCCUUUUGCCUCCUGCCAUGAUUCUGAGGCCUCCCCAGCUAUGCGGAACUUUCCAGGUGUGUCUUUGUCAGCAGUGUGAAAAUGGACCAAUACACCUGGGCUCAGCCAGAGCAGGGCAGAGGAUGGCCAGGGGACAAAGAAGGUAGAGAGACAAUGGGAUUUGAAGACCAGCUGCAGAGAGGAGUAACUUCUCUGCUGAGAGCUGCAGAAACAACCAGUGAGCAGAGAGAAGCUACCCUCUCCACUGAGAGCUUCAGAGACCUACAGAAAUGUCCUGAUAACCUGCCUGCAGAGAGGAGCUGUCCUCUCCAGGGCCUCCUCUCUGCAGAGAGCUGACCACUCGACUGGAUGGCCUGCCUAAAGAGAGGAGCUGCCCACUCCUCUGAAUUGUUUUAAUGCUAAAUAAAAC